CCUACGGGGGGCUGCAGUGGGGAAUUUUGGACAAUGGGCGCAAGCCUGAUCCAGCAAUGCCGCGUGCAGGAAGAAGGCCUUCGGGUUGUAAACUGCUUUUGUACGGAACGAAACGGUCUGGGUUAAUACCCUGGGCUAAUGACGGUACCGUAAGAAUAAGCACCGGCUAACUACGUGCCAGCAGCCGCGGUAAUACGUAGGGUGCAAGCGUUAAUCGGAAUUACUGGGCGUAAAGCGUGCGCAGGCGGUUUUGUAAGACAGGCGUGAAAUCCCCGGGCUCAACCUGGGAAUUGCGCUUGUGACUGCAAAGCUGGAGUGCGGCAGAGGGGGAUGGAAUUCCGCGUGUAGCAGUGAAAUGCGUAGAUAUGCGGAGGAACACCGAUGGCGAAGGCAAUCCCCUGGGCCUGCACUGACGCUCAUGCACGAAAGCGUGGGGAGCAAACAGGAUUAGAUACCCGAGUAGUC
rnacentral:rRNA from 1 species